CAAAAAGGCAGAAAAAAAGGGACCGCCGCCUGGACGACUUGCAGGGGACAGCUGGAAGAAAGACUCGUCAACGGCCGAGUGCUGGCGCCGGCGCCGUCUGCGCAGUGCGUUCCACCGGGUCCGCGUCCCUCCCGAUUCAGCCCCACCCCGCCCUCGGAAUCCGCUGCCUCAGCUCCUGCUGUGGCACUCCCCAGCAGCUUGCACCUCGCUCGCGGAGUCCUUGCUGAAGGCCAGGGCAGCUGUGCGGCCUGGCGCGGGUUACUUGAUGCCGUGCAAAAGCCAGGAGACACAUUUGGUUCUGGCCGCCCCGGAGUCACCGUGCCCGGGGCGAAUGGACUAUGGCUGGAUUGGGAGUCCACUUCCUCCUCUGUAAAGAUGACAGACGAGGGAGAUCUCACGUUCUGGGGGUGCCCUAUAGCCCUCUUUUGGCCAGAAGCGGUGGAUCACGCCUGUAAUCCCAGCCCUUUGGGAGGCCGAGGCAGGAGGAUUGCUUGAGCCCAGGAGUUCAAGACCAAUCUGGGCAACAUAGGGAGGCUACGUCUCUCAAAAAAUAAAUAAAUACAUAAAUAAAUAAAAAUAAAGCCAGCGUCGUGGCGGGGCGCCUGUGGUCCCUGUGGUCCCAGCUACUCUGGAGGCUGAGGCGGGACGAUCGCUUGAGCCUGGGAGGCAGAAGUUGUAGUGAGCUGAGAUCGAGCCACUGCACUCCAGCCUGGGCGACAGAGCAAGACACUGUCUCAAAGAAAAAUAAAUAAAUAAAAUAAGGCCCUCUUUUUCCGGGACCAACAGACUCUGAGGGCAGGGACAAACUGACCCAGCCUAAACUGCCUCGCCUUCCCUGCUCCCGGGAAAGGGGUUUUCCCUGAGGGAAGGUAGCAUCUUGCCAUUUUCUUCCUGCACAGCUUUGCCUUCCCAGGGAUCCACCCAUUGCCACCUGAGGAAAUGCCUUGGAGCCCAUCUAAUCCCCAGCCCAGCUACUUGGGACGCCUACAGAGACUACAUUGUCAGAGGAUGCAUCUUCCUCUAGUCUUGGAGGGUUUCUUUUCAAUAUGAUCCCACCGGUGCAUGCAAGGCUCAAUUCUACAUCAAAAAACUAGGCCCACUCCUGUCGCCGAGACCCCCAGGCUUCAGGUCCUGUCACAGUGACCUUGUUAUCACCCCCAGCAGCCCCCAGAUGUGCCGUUUGGGGGUGCUAAAGCUGGUGUUAAGAUCUAUCCCAAGAACUAUACC
rnacentral:lncRNA from 1 species